CAGUAGCCACGGUAAUGCGUAGGGGGCAAGCGUUAUCCGGAAUUACUGGGUGUAAAGGGAGCGUAGACGGUUAAACAAGUCUGAAGUGAAAUGCCGGGGCUCAACCCCGGAGCUGCUUUGGGAACUGUAGAACUGGAGUGUCGGAGGGGUAAGCGGAAUUCCCAGUGUAGCGGUGAAAUGCGUAGAUAUUGGGAGGAACACCGGCGGCGAAGGCGGCUUACUGGACGACAACUGACUUUGAGGCUCGAAGGCGUGGGUAGCAAACAGGAUUAGAUACCCGAGUAGUCCCUGUCUCUUAUAC
rnacentral:rRNA from 1 species